UGCCCAGCAACUCCUAUUCCUACCUCCUUGUGGUACUGGCCGGGCGAGUAACCCUAGGGAAGA
rnacentral:ribozyme from 1 species